rnacentral:lncRNA from 1 species
CACAGUUCAGGAUGUAGCCUGGGAUGUCCUGCCAGGUUGGGAUGGGAAACGCUGACUACGUGGCUGCCUUCCUGCACCUGCUGCUCCCACUGGCCUUUGAGGUGACUGCACGGAGGGCUCCCCCAGGGCAGCCGGGUGGGAGGGGGACCUUGUGCCUGGAGUGCGCCAGUGAAGGCAGGAGGAGGGUUAUGAGCUGUCCCACUCCUGUGUGGCUGGGGAAGGUGCUCAGGAGGGGAUGGGAUGGGCCUGGCUCGCCCUCACCUGGGCUCCAGCCCCUCUCUGUCGACCCUCCCCACUCCGGCCUGGCCUGUAGUUUGACCCUGAGCUGGUGCUGGUCUCGGCAGGAUUUGACUCAGCCAUCGGGGACCCUGAGGUGAGGGCCUUGCCUUGCCAGGGAGGGCUUCUGGGGUCCUGGGGCCCAGGUCCCCCAUCACACAUGGCUCUGGUUCCAGGGGCAAAUGCAGGCCACGCCAGAGUGCUUCGCCCACCUCACACAGCUGCUGCAGGUGCUGGCCGGCGGCCGGGUCUGUGCCGUGCUGGAGGGCGGCUACCACCUGGAGUCACUGGCGGAGUCAGUGUGCAUGACAGUACAGACGCUGCUGGGUGACCCGGCCCCACCCCUGUCAGGGCCAAUGGCGCCAUGUCAGAGUGCCCUAGAGUCCAUCCAGAGUGCCCGUGCUGCCCAGGCCCCGCACUGGAAGAGCCUCCAGCAGCAAGGUCAGUGUGGCCGGGUGCUAGGCUGCAGGAUCCCACCUCGGGCUCCUGUGCAGUGGCUAUGACUCCGAACUGUCCCUAGAUGUGACCGCUGUGCCGAUGAGCCCCAGCAGCCACUCCCCAGAGGGGAGGCCUCCACCUCUGCUGCCUGGGGGUCCAGUGUGUAAGGCAGCUGCAUCUGCACCGAGCUCCCUCCUGGACCAGCCGUGCCUCUGCCCCGCACCCUCUGUCCGCACCGCUGUUGCCCUGACAACGCCGGAUAUCACAUUGGUUCUGCCCCCUGACGUCAUCCAACAGGAAGCGUCAGCCCUGAGGGAGGA